GCAAUUACAACAAUGCAACACCUAGAAGAGGAAAGCUCAAAUAUCAGAUAAGACGCCCAUAUAUUCAUCAAUAAGGGGGAAAUUACAACACCUUUUUAGACUGAUACUCAUACCUGGAAUGCAAAGAAACUUGAACGCCAAAACAGAGGCUGAAAAGCAAACGUAACGUUGGAAACUCGGCUUUACAAUACUGUUUCGAAGCUCGGACAAUCAGACAUGAACUCGAACAGAAAACGUUGCAGCGCCGGAACCUCGCCGGAAUCUCGAACGGAACUAAACAGACUUGACGAACAGAGCCGACGACCUACGAAUGGGCUGUAACAGGACUCGAUCUCAACAGAAACGUUACACUAAAUGGAACGACAAACUUGAAACUCAGUCGACAAACUCAAACGAACUCUCCACGAGCUUUAAACGAACUCCAUUGACGAAACAAACUUCCGUCGCCAGUUUUCGACCAUUUUCGGUGGUGAUGGAGUUCAGUCGACGAAGAAGAAGACUUAGGACUUUGAUAUGUUUUCAAAUCAGAAAAAUGGCUAUGGCUGCUGGUUUUUUAGAGCUUCUUUGUUAAGCUCCUUGUUCAUGGUUGCUCGAGCAAAAUGAAUGACAGGGGGGUGUUUGGUUUUGUGCAACAGAUCAGUGUUCUUUUGUUCAAGAAGAUCAAAUACAGGGGAGUCGUUAUGGAGGCUAGAUGAAGAAGAAGCUCGAUCGGGGAUGGAUCUAUAUUUUUUGGUUCUUAAUCCUCCUGCUAUGCG
rnacentral:lncRNA from 1 species